UUGCGACCGUGAAAUCAAAAUUGACGGUGGCAACUCUUCAACUACAGUACUGUUAUUCCGAUUCUAAUGCAUUACAAAAAAAAAAUACGAUAAAACUUGAAAAAAUGUCUAAAUUUGUCAAAUAAAAAAAAAAUCCGCGAAACUUCAUGAAUGAUUUUGGCACAAAGACGUCAUGGCUAAACGUGACGUCAUACAAAUGAAAACUUACAAACUGGAGGUUAUUACGUUACCUGUACGCUUCAAAUUCGGAUAAAAUUACAUUAAAACGGCGA
rnacentral:lncRNA from 1 species